AGCAGCCGCGGUAAUUCCAGCUCCAAUAGCGUAUAUUAAAGUUGUUGCAGUUAAAAAGCUCGUAGUUGAAUUUCGGGAUUGACACAUCGGUCGUGCCUUAAGGGGUAUGAACUGGUGUAGUCAAUUUCUCACCUUCUGGAGAACCGCGAUGCCCUUAAUUGGGUGUCACGGGGAACCAGGACCUUUACUUUGAAAAAUUAGAGUGUUUAAAGCAGGCAUUUUGCUUGAAUACAUUAGCAUGGAAUAAUAAAAUAGGACGGCAUGAUUCUAUUUUGUUGGUUUCUAGGAUCACCGUAAUGAUUAAUAGGGAUAGUUGGGGGCAUUAGUAUUCAAUUGUCAGAGGUGAAAUUCUUGGAUUUAUUGAAGACUAACUACU
rnacentral:rRNA from 1 species